GUGUCAGCCGCCGCGGUAAUACGAACUGUGCAAACGUUAUUCGGAAUCACUGGGCUUAAAGGGUGCGUAGGCGGUCAUUUAGGUAGGGUGUGAAAGCCCCCGGCUCAACCGGGGAAUUGCGCCCUAAACCGGGUGACUGGAGUGAGAUAGGGGUGUGUGGAACUUCCGGUGGAGCGGUGAAAUGUGUUGAUAUCGGAAGGAACGCCGGUGGCGAAAGCGACACACUGGGUCUCAACUGACGCUGAGGCACGAAAGCCAGGGGAGCAAACGGGAUUAGAAACCCCCGUAGUCC
rnacentral:rRNA from 1 species